GACGAACGCUGGCGGCGUGCUUAACACAUGCAAGUCGAACGGAAAGGCCUGCUUUCCCUUGUGGAUUGCGGGUACUCGAGUGGCGAACGGGUGAGUAACACGUGAGUGAUCUGCCCCCAACUUGGGUAUAAGCCUGGGAAACUGGGUCUAAUUCCCGAUAGGACUGCAGGGUGGUGCCUGUGGUGGAAAACGAUUUUCUAGUGGUUGGGGAUGAGCUCGCGGCCUAUCAGCUUGUUGGUGGGGUAAUGGCCUACCAAGGCGGCGACGGGUAGCCGGCCUGAGAGGGUGGACGGCCACAUUGGGACUGAGAUACGGCCCAGACUCCUACGGGAGGCAGCAGUGGGGAAUAUUGCACAAUGGGCGGAAGCCUGAUGCAGCGACGCAGCGUGGGGGAUGACGGCCUUCGGGUUGUAAACUCCUUUCGACCGCGAGGAAGCCACCUGGUUGGAAGGGUGGUGACGGUAGUGGUAGAAGAAGCACCGGCUAACUACGUG
rnacentral:rRNA from 1 species